rnacentral:rRNA from 1 species
CGUAGGGUCCGAGCGUUGUCCGGAAUUAUUGGGCGUAAAGGGCUUGUAGGCGGUUUGUCACGUCGAAAGUGAAAACUCAGGGCUUAACCCUGAGCCUGCUUCCGAUACGGGCAAACUAGAGGGAUGCAGGGGAGAAUGGAAUUCCUGGUGGAGCGGUGGAAUGCGCAGAUACCAGGAGGAACACCGGUGGCGAAGGCGGUUCUCUGGGCAUCUCCUGACGCUGAGAAGCGAAAGCGUGGGGAGCAAAACAGGCUUAGAUACCCUGGUAGUCCACGCCGUAAACGGUGGGCACUAGGUGUGGGGAACAUUCCACGUUCUCCGUGCCGAAGCUAACGCAUUAAGUGCCCCGCCUGGGGAGUACGGCCGCAAGGCUAA